rnacentral:rRNA from 1 species
UACGAAGGGGGCUAGCGUUGCUCGGAAUCACUGGGCGUAAAGGGUGCGUAGGCGGGUCUUUAAGUCAGGGGUGAAAUCCUGGAGCUCAACUCCAGAACUGCCUUUGAUACUGAGGAUCUUGAGUUCGGGAGAGGUGAGUGGAACUGCGAGUGUAGAGGUGAAAUUCGUAGAUAUUCGCAAGAACACCAGUGGCGAAGGCGGCUCACAGGCCCGAUACUGACGCUGAGGCACGAAAGCGUGGGGAGCGAACAGG